GACGAACGCUGGCGGCGUGCUUAACACAUGCAAGUCGAACGGAAAGGCCCUGCUUUUUUGGGGUUCUCGAGUGGCGAACGGGUGAGUAACACGUGAGUAACCUGCCCUUUACUUUGGGAUAACUUCAGGAAACUGGGGCUAAUACCUGAUAGGAGCUCCUGCUGCAUGGUGGGGUUUGGAAAGUUUCGGCGGUUGGGGAUGGACUCGCGGCUUAUGAGCUUGUUGGUGGGGUAGUGGCUUACCCAGGGUUUGACGGGUAGCCGGCCUGAGAGGGUGACCGGCCACAUUGGGACUGAGAGACGGCGCAGACUGCUACGGGAGGCAGCAGGGGGGAAUAUUGCACAAUGGGCGGAAGCGUGAUGCAGAAACGCCGCGUGCGGGAUGACGGCCUUCGGGUUGUAAACCGCUUUCGCCUGUGACGAAGCGUGAGUGACGGUAAUGGGUAAAGAAGCACCGGCUAACUACGUG
rnacentral:rRNA from 1 species